AGGGUUUGAUCCUGGCUCAGAUUGAACGCUGGCGGAAUGCUUUACACAUGCAAGUCGAACGGUAACAGGUCUUCGGAUGCUGACGAGUGGCGAACGGGUGAGUAAUAUAUCGGAACGUGCCCAGUCGUGGGGGAUAACGUAGCGAAAGUUACGCUAAUACCGCAUACGAUCUAUGGAUGAAAGCGGGGGAUCGCAAGACCUCGCGCGAUUGGAGCGGCCGAUAUCAGAUUAGGUAGUUGGUGGGGUAAAGGCUCACCAAGCCGACGAUCUGUAGCUGGUCUGAGAGGACGACCAGCCACACUGGAACUGAGACACGGUCCAGACUCCUACGGGAGGCAGCAGUGGGGAAUUUUGGACAAUGGACGCAAGUCUGAUCCAGCCAUUCCGCGUGCAGGAUGAAGGCCCUCGGGUUGUAAACUGCUUUUGUACGGAACGAAAAGGUCUCUCCUAAUACGAGGGGCUCAUGACGGUACCGUAAGAAUAAGCACCGGCUAACUACGUGCCAGCAGCCGCGGUAAUACGUAGGGUGCAAGCGUUAAUCGGAAUUACUGGGCGUAAAGCGUGCGCAGGCGGUUAUAUAAGACAGAUGUGAAAUCCCCGGGCUCAACCUGGGAACUGCAUUUGUGACUGUAUAGCUAGAGUACGGUAGAGGGGGAUGGAAUUCCGCGUGUAGCAGUGAAAUGCGUAGAUAUGCGGAGGAACACCGAUGGCGAAGGCAAUCCCCUGGACCUGUAC
rnacentral:rRNA from 1 species